CAGCAGCCGCGGUAAUACGUAGGGUGCAAGCGUUAAUCGGAAUUACUGGGCGUAAAGCGUGCGCAGGCGGUUCGCUAAGACAGAUGUGAAAUCCCCGGGCUCAACCUGGGAACUGCAUUUGAGACUGUAUGGCUAGAGUGUGUCAGAGGGGGGUAGAAUUCCACGUGUAGCAGUGAAAUGCGUAGAUAUGUGGAGGAAUACCGAUGGCGAAGGCAGCCCCCUGGGAUAACACUGACGCUCAUGCACGAAAGCGUGGGGAGCAAACAGGAUUAGAUACCCCAGUAGUCCCUGUCUCUUAUAC
rnacentral:rRNA from 1 species